rnacentral:rRNA from 1 species
AUUGAACGCUAGCGGGAUGCUUUACACAUGCAAGUCGAACGGCAGCGCGGACUUCGGUCUGGCGGCGAGUGGCGAACGGGUGAGUAAUGUAUCGGAACGUGCCCAGUAGCGGGGGAUAACUACGCGAAAGCGUAGCUAAUACCGCAUACGCCCUACGGGGGAAAGCAGGGGAUCGUAAGACCUUGCACUAUUGGAGCGGCCGAGAUCGGAUUAGCUAGUUGGUGAGGUAACGGCCCACCAAGGCGACGAUCCGUAGCUGGUUUGAGAGGACGACCAGCCACACUGGGACUGAGACACGGCCCAGACUCCUACGGGAGGCAGCAGUGGGGAAUUUUGGACAAUGGGGGCAAACCUGAUCCAGCCAUCCCGCGUGUGCGAUGAAGGCCUUCGGGUUGUAAAGCACUUUUGGCAGGAAAGAAACGUCGCGGGCUAAUACCCCGUGGAACUGACGGUACCUGCAGAAUAAGCACCGGCUAACUACGUG